rnacentral:piRNA from 1 species
CGGUGUAUUUGCCUUAAAACUGGAGA